rnacentral:rRNA from 1 species
AAGUCGAACGCACUCUCGUUUAGAUUGAAGGAGCUUGCUCCUGAUUGAUAAACAUUUGAGUGAGUGGCGGACGGGUGAGUAACACGUGGGUAACCUGCCCUAAAGUGGGGGAUAACAUUUGGAAACAGAUGCUAAUACCGCAUAAAACCUAACACCGCAUGGUGUAGGGUUGAAAGAUGGUUUCGGCUAUCACUUUAGGAUGGACCCGCGGUGCAUUAGUUAGUUGGUGAGGUAAAGGCUCACCAAGACCGUGAUGCAUAGCCGACCUGAGAGGGUAAUCGGCCACACUGGGACUGAGACACGGCCCAGACUCCUACGGGAGGCAGCAGUAGGGAAUCUUCCACAAUGGACGAAAGUCUGAUGGAGCAACGCCGCGUGAGUGAAAAAGGUUUUCGGAUCGUAAAACUCUGUUGUUGGAGAAGAAUGUAUCUGAUAGUAACUGAUCAGGUAGUGACGGUAUCCAACCAGAAAGCCACGGCUAACUACGUGCCAGCAGCCGCGGUAAUACGUAGGUGGCAAGCGUUGUCCGGAUUUAUUGGGCGUAAAGCGAGCGCAGGCGGUUUCUUAAGUCUGAUGUGAAAGCCUUCGGCUCAACCGAAGAAGUGCAUCGGAAACUGGGAAACUUGAGUGCAGAAGAGGACAGUGGAACUCCAUGUGUAGCGGUGAAUGCGUAGAUAUAUGGAAGAACACCAGUGGCGAAGGCGGCUGUCUGGUCUGUAACUGACG